rnacentral:rRNA from 1 species
GAAUAUUGGACAAUGGGGGCAACCCUGAUCCAGCAAUGCCGCGUGGGUGAAGAAGGCCUUCGGGUUGUAAAGCCCUUUUGUACGGGAAGAAAAGCCGCUGGUUAAUACCUGGUGGUCAUGACGGUACCGGAAGAAUAAGCACCGGCUAACUUCGUGCCAGCAGCCGCGGUAAUACGAAGGGUGCAAGCGUUAAUCGGAAUUACUGGGCGUAAAGCGUGCGUAGGUGGUUUGUUAAGUCUGAUGUGAAAGCCCUGGGCUCAACCUGGGAAUGGCAUUGGAUACUGGCUUACUAGAGUGCGGUAGAGGGACGCGGAAUUUCCGGUGUAGCGGUGAAAUGCGUAGAGAUCGGAAGGAACAUCUGUGGCGAAGGCGGCAUCCUGGACCAGCACUGACACUGAGGCACGAAAGCGUGGGGAGCAAACAGG